AUUGAACGCUGGCGGCAUGCCUUACACAUGCAAGUCGAACGGUAACAGGUUAAGCUGACGAGUGGCGAACGGGUGAGUAAUGUAUCGGAACGUGCCCAGUCGUGGGGGAUAACUGCUCGAAAGAGCAGCUAAUACCGCAUACGACCUGAGGGUGAAAGCGGGGGAUCGCAAGACCUCGCGCGAUUGGAGCGGCCGAUAUCAGAUUAGGUAGUUGGUGGGGUAAAGGCCUACCAAGCCGACGAUCUGUAGCUGGUCUGAGAGGACGACCAGCCACCCUGGGACUGAGACACGGCCCAGACUCCUACGGGGGGCAGCAGUGGGGAGUUUUGGACAAUGGACGCAAGUCUGAUCCAGCCAUGCCGCGUGCGGGAAGAAGGCCUUCGGGUUGUAAACCGCUUUUGUCAGGGAAGAAACGCUCUGGGUUAAUACCUCGGGGUAAUGACGGUACCUGAAGAAUAAGCACCGGCUAACUACGUGCCAGCCGCCGCGGUAA
rnacentral:rRNA from 1 species